rnacentral:rRNA from 1 species
GCCAGACUCCUACGGGAGGCAGCAGUGAGGAAUAUUGGUCAAUGGGCGGGAGCCUGAACCAGCCAAGCCGCGUGAAGGAAGAAGGCGCCAGGCGUCGUAAACUUCUUUUGUCGGGGAACAAAGGGCGCCACGCGUGGCGUUGUGAGUGUACCCGAAGAAAAAGCAUCGGCUAACUCCGUGCCAGCAGCCGCGGUAAUACGGAGGAUGCGAGCGUUAUCCGGAUUUAUUGGGUUUAAAGGGUGCAUAGGCGGUCCGGAAAGCCGGCGGGAAAAGCGCGGGGCGAAACCCCGGGGAGCCGUUGAAACUGUCGGACUAGAGACGGCGAGAAGUACGCGGAAUGCGCGGUGUAGCGGUGAAAUG